CACCCCGCCCCCUGCCCUUCCCGAGGGCAGCAGCCGCGGCGGCCCGGAGAUAGCGCUGGCGCGGCGCGGGCUCUGCCUGGGCUAGUGGCACCGACUUGGGAAAGGAAAACAUUGAGACAGAAGAAGACUGGAUCUUUUCCCAUAGGAAGAACCAUGAUCAGCCCUGUUGAAAGACUGCAGAAGACCCACUACUUGUGAAGGCCCACACAUUGGAAAUAUGGGAACUUCUCUCCUGCCACAGAGAACAAAAGGAUCAGAGAAACUGAAAAGCACAAGGCGAUAAGAGCUCUGUCAGCAAAUCUGACCCUGGAACCCUCAGCCAACUUUCUGGGGGCAGGAGACCCUGGGGAAGGAGAAGAGAAUCUACUGGUGAGUUCUGCUGGGACUUUAUGGGGCAUUGUUUUUAUAGCCCUAACCCUGAAUCCACCAGCCCUUUACCCAAACCUAGGUAACCUCCCAGACUCUGACCUGCUCCAUAACAGCCUUCUUCUGUCUCUCCUGCAUCCAUGUGAGAGGGGAUACCAAAUAGCUGACAAGUCCUCUGACUCCUGGCUUCAGAAUACCGAACAAGUGGAAGCAAACUUACAACUGUCUUCUGCCACAACUCCACCUGAAGCCUUUAACCUCCAUCCCUGCUUGAGACUCAGAAUCCACGCUGGGCCCUUUUCCCUUCUUCAAACUUGCCCUUCCUGUCUUGAAAGGGAGAGCCCCCAGCCUUGGAGCUCCUGGCAUGAGCCCGAGUUGAGUGGGGAUUAGACAUCCUGCACUUUGCUGCUCAAUUUCGCUCCUGAAAGAUCCACUAUGCCACCAUGCACCGCCACCGCCUCCGCCGCAGCUGCCGCCGCCACCACCACCACCACUGUGAGUCAGGCUGAGUAUUGUAAUUAUUAUGGUUAUUAUUAUUGUCGCUAUUUGCUUAUCCCGAAGUCUAAUAUUCAUGGCUGGUGUUCCCCAUAAAUCCUUCAGAUUAAUGAGUCAAAGAGAGAUGUUGCCUAGGUCUCUACCUCUGCAAUGGCCGCUGCCGCGCCGCCGUGGCCUUUUUCUCCGCGGUUUUGGCGUUCGCUUGCUCCCUCGCUAGCCCGGCGCGGUUGAUUUAUGAACGCCCGGAAAAUUGAACAAAGCUGCGCGCCCGUCCUGUGGUAUCUCUGCAGCCUUCCCCAGCGUGAAUCUGAACAUUACCAACUGUCUGCGCAUCCGUCCCACUUCAUCACCAAAGCCAGGAUGUGACCACAAAAAAGAAAAAAAACCAACAACCCAAGCCCAAACUCACGUUUCCCCGACACAGCGCGCUCCCUGGACUCGCAGAAACCCUGCAGAAAAGCACCAGGACCCAGCCUGAGCCCGCCAGCUCUGGUUCUCCUAGCCACAGGGCUCUCUCCUUCCUUCCUGAAGGAGUUAAAAGCCUUUGAAGAUAAAUCUGAGGAUGCGUGUAUUUAAAAAUCAAAUAGGAAGUUGGAGUCUCACUUCAGAGAUUCAUUCCUAGUGAGGCCCUGACUACUCCGAUCCAUUCCUGACGAUCUGCAUUAAUUAUUUAAUGAAUCACGUGACCUCGGAGAUUACAAUUUCAAUAUCUCCCUGGAACAGGCGUUACACCUUUAUCAGCUGCAACCAGGGUCCGUGUUUGGUUUUUUGUUCCCUAGGCCUCUGGAGCACAUUCACCCUUGUGUUGAUGGGGCAAGCAACCGCCAAAGAAAUUACGGGUAGAACACAGCAGAAUUAGUCAUUAUGGGGUGAGGAGCGUUGUGGACAGUAGGGAGCUCACUGCUCUCCAAGGCAUCCUGAAGUCCAUCAGCUCCUGAGACCAGUGGUCAGCCACCUGUCUGAGUGCCAAGUCUAGGGCAGUUUGGUUACAUAAUCUCCCAAGGCAGCUUUUCAGGUACAUUGGGUAAGAACUUACCCUUCCAAAUCCAGGUUACACACACUCCUAGCCUUUCACAUCAAGGGUAAACCCAAAUACAUACUGUAUCCCAUUCUCUUGGAGGAAUAGCUUCUGCUUUGAAAAAAAUGACUGAGUUUACCACAUCCGUGUCCAAGGUGAGAUUAAAGGCUUUUCUCAGCCUACACACUCAUUAACAUAAGAAACGUUGGGAAGUGGAAUAUUCAACUGCCUCAGUUUCCUCAUAUGUAAACUGAGAAGACUGAACCCAAAUGGCUUCCAGGUCUCUUUCAACUUGGACAGUCAUUCAUUCUGGAUUCUCCUUCAACUCUAGGAAGCAUUCUAGAGAGAAGGGGGCUGGCCUGAAAGGGAAGAGGGUGUGCUGAGUGAGUCUGGAGCCUUCAGAAGAGAUGCCAGAAUUCCAAGCCAGAAGUUGCAGACUAGAAGGUUUGAUGACUUAAUGCUAUCAAGGAGACAGAACACACAACUCCCCCCCCCUUCCUGCUCCUCCUCCUCCCUCCAUUGUUUCCAGAUCCAGAGCUUAUCCUUCGAGGUGCAAAGCAGUUACUCUUGGAGCAGUAUGUUGUGGAGAAAAGGUAUCAAGAGCAUCAGUUAGGAAAGAUGAGCUUGAGUUCUUCAAGCCCGAGGGUGCCCGGGAAUGCAGAGACCAAGGAGGUGCCAAAGAGGCCCUAUUGCUUGCACAGAACCCACUCAUUCAAAUGGGAAGCCCCAGGUUUCUAUUCGCUUCAUUCAUUCUUUGGAGGUUUUCUUUCAUUUUAGAGAGUUGAUUUGUUUCUGUGCUGGCACAACUAGAAGGAAGGCAGCAGUAAGAAAAGCAACACAGUUUGGAAGUUUUGGGGGAUCUAGGGGCUCAGGAGAUAUGGUGAUUCCCAUCCCUUAGGGAGAAGGGUGAGAAGUAGGGAGAAUGGGGCACCCUGGGACAGCUGGAUAGAAAGGCAGAUAUUGUGCAGCAGGCCUACCCCCAUAUAUUUAGGGAAUCUUCCCACGAGCUCCAUCCUGGGUAUUAAGUACUCUACUAUGCCCGUCACAGUUGAAUUCCUGCUGUAAUAAAACACCGGGUAUAUGGUAGAUUUCAGCAAAACUAGGGAAAAAAGCCUGCAAAGUGCCAUUUUUCUUCAAGGGGGAGAGUGUUAAGUACUUAAUUCAAACUGUGACCAUUAAAGUGUCUCCUAUCCGACUUAGGCUGAUUUCAGAUGUUGACAAAACUUUUAUCUCCAGAGUCAUGCACAGCUUGGCUCUGAGACUAAAGCAGAUGAGUGUGUAUUAAAGAGAGGGAGGGAUAAAGAUGGAGAGAGCAGGAGAGCAUGUGUAAAGGUCAUCAUAACAGGAGAAAUACAGAGCUUACACAAAAUACUGUCUUUAAAGGUCAAGGGUUUGAGGGGUUAGUAAGGUUUACCUUAAAAAAAAAACUAAUGAGAUAGAAAAUUUGUCCUCUCAAUGAACUCUUAUGGUUGUCCUAGCAGAGGGCAGACAAUGCAUGAUUUUGAAGCACAAAGAGAGAUUUCUUAAGCUGUUAUUACAAGCUCCCUUAAAGGCAAAAUCUGAAACAGACAAAACAUUGUGAAGAAAUGACAUAAUCAGUUGGAUCACUUUUGAUAAUUUUGGUUUAUAAAGCUUACCAAUAUCUUACCAUUUUGAAAAAAUGCCGCUUUAUUCUAGAAUAUCACAAAAAUGGUCUCAACCCUCUCCUAUUCUGGAUAGACUACAAGAGCAAGAGAAAGAAAUCACUCCCUUUAUUUUCAUACUACUGCCUCCAGCACGAAGCUAAUGAAUUUCCCUAUACCCUUCCUCCCCACAAAGGAGAAAUAUAAGAAUUUACCUUAAAUGAUGAUAAUCUGCCAUUUGAGGUUUUGCAGCUUGACACUCAAUUUCCACCAAGAGUCUAGGUAUUUUUUUAUUUUAGCAGAUAGCCAAGAUGCUAUGUCUUUGCCUGAGACAUUAUUUGCAAGAAGAUCUCUCUCUCCUUCACAGACUUUUCCCAGAGAAUGCCUUUCAGAAUUGCUGUUGAAUUACAAAGAAGUAUUUAUUGUAUGAGGUGAUUAAUGAUUCCUGGGAAAAUUGCUAUUUUCAGCAUGAUUUAAUUUCGUUUUACAAGUGCGUGUAUAGGGGGAGGGUUAAUAAGUUUCAGCAGCAGUUGCAUUGCCUCCAGAAAUGCCUGGCACCCAUUCACACCUUAUUAAAUGCAUUUUAUCCCAGGUUUUUCCUGAUUUGAG
rnacentral:lncRNA from 1 species